ensembl:lncRNA
CAUGAUGCUCUUGAUGAUCAACCGAAGAAUGUAGCAGACCAGUGUUCCACACGAAGGAAGAGGAUGGACUUCAGCCGUGAAGAAGUGGAUUACCUACUGUCUGGAGUAAAGAAGUAUGGCUUCUCCUGGAACUCCAUCUUGUGGUCUUAUCCCUUCAAACCUGGACGCACCAACGUUGGCUUGGCCAAGAAAUACAGGCACCUAAUGAAAUGCAAAACCCAGGAUGUCGGCUGUGUAUAGUCGUAUUCCUGAGAUCCUGGACCAGUUCAUUUUUAAUGACCCUCUGUAAAUCAACUGAUCUAUCUGCAUUCUGUCCAGUUCAAAACACUGCACCGUCUUUAAUGUAAUCUGAAGCAGUAUAUGCUCCAUAUACUUACUAUACUCUGAC